AAUGGGCGAAAGCCUAACGCAGCGACGCCGCGUGAGGGAAGAAGGCCUUCGGGUCGUAAACCUCUGUCUGGAGGAAAGAAACCCAUGGGUUCAAAUAGGGCCCAUGGCUGACGGUACCUCCGAAGGAAGCACCGGCUAACUCCGUGCCAGCAGCCGCGGUAAUACGGAGGGUGCAAGCGUUAAUCGGAAUCACNGGGCGUAAAGCGCACGUAGGCUGUCUUGCAAGUCAGACGUGAAAGCCCUCGGCUCAACCGGGGAACUGCGUUUGAAACUGCAUGACUUGAGUACAGGAGAGGAUGGCAGAAUUCCGGGUGUAGGGGUGAAAUCCGUAGAUAUCCGGAGGAAUACCAGUGGCGAAGGCGGCCAUCUGGACUGUCACUGACGCUGAGGUGCGAAAGCGUGGGGAGCAAA
rnacentral:rRNA from 1 species